rnacentral:lncRNA from 1 species
UUCUACUGAUGACUUCAUCAUUGAGUGUGUUUUUGGGAGAAGUAGCUGUCAGUGAAAACAGAAAAUAUUAUGUGCGCUGGUGAGAAACGGCAACCCCACGAAGUGAGAACAGAGCAGUGAUGUCAGCAGUCCUACGCUGGUUGUAGGCAGAACAAUAAGAAAAGAGUGAAGAAACGGUAAUGAUUGGAGACAGGGAGAACCCUGUGCAGCCAGACACUGCACAGAGCUCACUCGAGAAAAGCACUUGAACAGGCAAAAUCACUCAAGACGAUAACCAGCAGAGGAUCUGGAAUGUAGCGCGAUAGUCAGAGAAUGUGAAGAAGAGGAUCUGGAAUGUAGCGCGAUAGUCAGAGAAUGUGAAGAAGAGGAUCUGGAAUGUAGUGCGAUAGUCAGAGAAUGUGAAGAAGAGACAGACCCUCUUUGCAAAACUCCAAGAACACUGGGAUAAACCUGUCAAGGUCUGUAGGAAGAAAACCGUAAUACCGGUUCACUCUUCUCUGUCCGAAAUGUCAGGGACCGGAAGUAUUUCAGAUCUCAGAAACAUGUUGAAAUUCGUACUACAGAGUUAUGCCUAAUGAAAUGCAUCAGGCACAGAACCCAAGUCUAAACACACCAUCCGCUUGCGUGUCAUGUACAGUUCACCGUGUAGCCUGAAGGUGUUCCCAUACAAUAUUUUCA